GAUGAACGCUGGCGGCGUGCUUAACACAUGCAAGUCGAACGAGAAAUGUAGACGGAAACCUUCGGGCGGAAGCCUUCAUUUCGAGUGGCGGACGGGUGAGUAACGCGUGGGUAACCUGCCUCAUACAGGGGGAUAACAGUUGGAAACGACUGUUAAUACCGCAUAAGACCACAGCAUCGCAUGAUGCGGGGGUAAAAACUCCGGUGGUAUGAGAUGGACCCGCGUUCGAUUAGCCAGUUGGCGGGGUAACGGCCCACCAAAGCGACGAUCGAUAGCCGAUCUGAGAGGAUGACCGGCCACAUUGGGACUGAGACACGGCCCAAACUCCUACGGGAGGCAGCAGUGGGGAAUAUUGCACAAUGGGGGAAACCCUGAUGCAGCGACGCCGCGUGAGUGAAGAAGUACUUCGGUAUGUAAAGCUCUAUCAGCAGGGAAGAAAAUGACGGUACCUGAGUAAGAAGCCCCGGCUAACUACGU
rnacentral:rRNA from 1 species